rnacentral:rRNA from 1 species
GACACGGUCCAUACUCCUACGGGAGGCAGCAGUGAGGAAUCUUCCGCAAUGGGCGAAAGCCUGACGGAGCGACACCGCGUGGUGGAUGAAGGCCUUUUUGGUCGUAAACACCUGUUCUGAGGGACGAAAUUUUUGACGGUACCUCAGGAGAAAGCAUCGGCUAAGCCUGUGCCAGCAGCCGCGGUAAUACAGGCGAUGCAAGCGUUACUCGGAAUUACUGGGCGUAAAGCGUCUGUAGGUUUUAAGGUAAGUCUGGGGUAAAAUUUCGGGGCUCAACCCCGAACUCGUCCCGGAAACUACCUCAAUUGAGUAAUGGAGAGGUAUCUGGAAUGCCGUGAGUAGGAGUAAAAUCCGUAGAUACACGGUAGAACGCCAAAAGCGAAGGCAGGAUACUAGCCAUUCACUGACACUGAGAGACGAAAGCGUGGGGAGCAAAGGGGAUUAGAUACCCCCGUAGUCCACGCCCUAAACGAUGUGUGCUCGAUGUAGGACAUUUUCAAUUGUGUUCUGUGUCUUAGCUAACGCGGUAAGCACACCGCCUGGGAAGUACGGUCGCAAGACUAAAACUCAAAGGAAUAGACGGGGACCCACACAAGCGGUGGAGCAUGGGGUUUAAUUCGAUAAUAAGCGAAGCACCUCACCCAGGCUUGACAUCCUAGGAACCCUCCAGAAACGGAGGGGUGCCGCAAGGAACCAAGAGACAGGCGCUGCACGGUCGUCGUCAGCUCGUGCCUUGAGGUGUACUGUUAAGUCAGCGAACGAGCGCAACCCUCAUCCUAUGUUGAUUUUUCAUGGGAGACUGCCGCCUCCAAGGCGGAGGAAGGUGGGGAUGACGUCAGAUCAGCGUGGCCCUUAUGCCUGGGGCAACACCCGUGCUACAAUGGCCGGUACAAAGAGCAGCAAACCCGCGAGGGGAAGCCAAUCUCACAAAGCCGGUCUCAGUUCGGAUUGAAGUCUGCAACUCGACUUCAUGAAGUUGGAAUCGCUAGUAACCGUGAAUCAGCUACGUCACGGUGAAUAUGUUCCUGGGUCUUGUACUCACCGCCCGUCAA